GAAGGUCAUGGAAGAAUGUCACUGCCUCCUGCUCUGAUCUCUCUACUGAACUUCCCAACAGGGCCCGGAGGGCUACCAGGGGCUGGCAUUGGCGGUGUUGGUGGCCUGGUGCCAGGUGGUGUCGGAGGUCUGGUGCCUGGUGUUGGAGGCAUAGGCGGCAUUGGAGGUGUCGGAGGUCAGGCAGCUGCAGCUGCAGCUGCCAAAGCAGCUGCCAAGGCCGCCAAAUACGGCAUAGGUGGAGUGGGAGGCCUGGCACCUGGUGGUAUUGGAGGUCUGGCACCUGGUGGUGUGGGGGCCUUGGCUCCAGGAGUUGGUGGAGUUGGAG
rnacentral:lncRNA from 1 species